UACGGGAGGCAGCAGUGGGGGAUAUUGCACAAUGGGGGAAACCCUGAUGCAGCGACGCCGCGUGAGCGAAGAAGUAUUUCGGUAUGUAAAGCUCUAUCAGCAGGGAAGAAAAAAAUGACGGUACCUGACUAAGAAGCCCCGGCUAACUACGUGCCAGCAGCCGCGGUAAU
rnacentral:rRNA from 1 species